rnacentral:rRNA from 1 species
AUUGAACGCUGGCGGCAUGCCUUACACAUGCAAGUCGAACGGCAGCACGGGGGCAACCCUGGUGGCGAGUGGCGAACGGGUGAGUAACGCAUCGGAAUGUACCCAGUAGUGGGGGAUAACUAGUCGAAAGACUAGCUAAUACCGCAUACGCACUGAGGUGGAAAGCGGGGGAUCGCAAGACCUCGCGCUAUUGGAGCAGCCGAUGUCCGAUUAGGUAGUUGGUGGGUAAAGGCCUACCAAGCCUGCGAUCGGUAACUGGUCUGAGAGGACGACCAGUCACACUGGGACUGAGACACGGCCCAGACUCCUACGGGAGGCAGCAGUGGGAAUUUGGACAAUGGGCGCAAGCCUGAUCCAGCAAUGCCGCGUGUGUGAAGAAGGCCUUCGGGUUGUAAGCACUUUUGGCGGGAGGCGAACGGCGUUUGCUAAUACCAGACGCUAAUGACGGUACCGACACGAAUAAGCACCGGCUAACUACGUGCCAGCAGCCGACC